UCGAUCAGUCGCAGCACCCCACGACACUUUUUUCUCUCAAGGCAGGCCCCCUUCGGGCAAGUGAGCGGAGACCAUCGAGUGCAGAACGUUGCUCACUCAGCACCACCAUACACACGCACACGCACGCACGAGAGCGCUCAACACAACGCGUAUUCUUCUUUUUUCUUCUGGUGUGUGGCGCUCGUCUCGCCAUCACCUCGGGAUAGAGGGUAGCAGCCGUGUGCGCUAGUCCUGCACCGCUACCGCGAGAGGACGCAUAAGACAACCGAAAACAACAACCAAACCAACCAACGAAAAUAGGGUCUCCUGCAGAAAAGCGUCAGUGCAGAGGGGUGUGAGACUCCGGCGUGCGCCGGUGCUUGUCUGUUUGUGUGCGUGUGCGUCAGAGGGCGGCGGCACCGACAUGAACCGACGCGUUCUUUUCGCGUCCGACAGUGACGACGACAACGCCGAUGCCUUCCGUUUCGCAGCUGCGGGUGCCGGUGAUCGAGCCAUGUCUGGAACAUCAGGCUCACGCCUGGCGAAGGAUCCGCUGUCGGCGGGCGCGGCUUCGCAGCUCCACUCCGCAAGCCUCGACAACGACAGGAGAAGCACAGCAGCAGUGCAGCUUCCCGAGCCCAGCAAGGUAACAGCCACUCGUCAAAACCUGUCGCAGCUCUUCGGCGCGGGCCCUACGCCGUUGACGAUGCGAGGAAUGAGUAACUCACCAAAUCAGCCCCCGGCCACGCAGGCCGCCGCUGCCGGGAAUGUCGCAAACGGCGCUUCAGCCGAUACCGGCAGUGGUGCCACAGAAGCCACUGCCUUCUUCGCUCCGCGCUUCGAUUACGAUGGCAAUGGCGGCACGGGGGCUGCAGGCGGCGCCGCCGCUGCUCUCGCGGCUGCCACGGGUGAAGCGGGGGCGGGGCUUAUCACAGCCGAGCACGCGGUAGUACAAGCGUACCGUGACUCCCUGCACAGCGGCACGUGCAUGCUGGCGCUAUGCGUGCCCCUUGCUACUGCCUCCGCAGUCACCACCUCUGCUGCUUCACCGCCGUCAGCCGCUCUGCGCCGACACCUCCGCGAACAGCAAGAGGCUGUCGCUGCGUCAAAUGCGGCGGCCGGUGGUCCGACGUUGCUGCUCAUCAGCAGCAACCGCCAGGUGCUCUCUCGCGUUGCUCUCGACGCCACCGACGCUGUGUUUUCUAGCGACUCGCUGCAACUGCGUCAAGACGCUACACAGCCACAGUACCUCACCUUUUUCGACAUCGGCUGCACUGGUAUCCGUGGAGCCAGCUCCUCUGAGAGGUCCGCAGCGGGUGGGAGCGGUAGCGGGUGCUGGUGGACGUGCAUGUUUCCUGACCGCGACAAGGCGAGUCGCUUCCUCGUCUCCGCCUACACCGUUGCACAGUAUGCGGCGACACUGGCACAGCGCACGGGCACCGCGUCGACAUGUGUUCCAUCCGUGCGCACAUUGCCCGCCUCGCCACCUUCCAAAACGGACAAGGCAGCGGCCAGUGCUGCCAGUGCUGCCGGUGGUGCGCCGGGCGUGGUCCGGCCCGAUGUGCCAGCGACAAUCUGCUGGCAAACGUGGGCGCUACGUCGCGUGAGCCGGGAGACCCUCUAUUGCGUUCCAGGCAGCUGCGUCGAGGAGGUGCCGCCGUCGGCACCGCGGACUGUGACGGCCACGGAUGGGACUCUUUGGGAUGCCGCUGCUGCUGCACUGGUGGGCAUGCGAACAGGUGAGUCGCGGCUUGUCUUCUUGACGCCAGAAGACACGCGCGUGCGGCAGCCGAAGCCGCGGACGGAUUCUCGUCGAUCGGAGCGCCCUGGCAGAAGUGCGCCCCAGCUCGCUCUCAACACCCCGGCGGUGAUCUACAUGACGUGUCUGCAGGCCGUCUCAUCCCCCAUUGGCACGCCGGAGCCGUCAACUACGACUGCCGCUGGUGACUUGGCGCCACUAAUUCCGCCCCCGCCCGCUCCCGCACCUGCUACUGCUGCCGCCGCGACCAGCGUCUCUGUGUCUGCGCCACCGCCUGCUGCGGAGCCGUCACAAGCUCCCGGUGCUGCCAGCGCGCUGUCCACGAACACGCUGCUUCAGCAACUCCUCCUCCACUUUCUGCAACAACAACCACAGCAGCCGCUGCCGAGCGCCUCCGCGUCAGAGCGGGGGACAUCGCAGCAAGUGUGGGAGAGCAUAGAAUGCGCAUUGACUCGUGUGCAGGUGCAGCUGGGCUCCCUGUACGAAAAGAUCGACCGCCUCGACAUUGAAGCAAAACUGCAGCACAACAACACAGAGCUGGAGCGUGUCAUGCGGAGGGUGGUCGGGCGGGCGCCGCAGGAGGAGAUCGCCAUCGAGGAUUCCCUGAAAGACCGGGAGGAGCUUCUCGCCAGCAUCGAGCGCCACCGCCACAAGUUCGAGGAGGCGAACGCGAACUAUCAACGCGCGCUCGAGGCGAUGGGCCGCUUGUCCGACCGCGCUCAGGCGUUGGAGAGGGAUCUGCGCCUGCAGCAGGACAUAUGGGCUCAGCAGCGGAAGGACGAGGCGGAGCAGAUGCGUCUGCGGCUGGUGGAGCGCGAUGCGCGGCAUCGUGACGAGCUGGAGCGCGUCAGCGAAGAGCGAUACGCCGCAGGCAGGUCGGACGGUCACGCUGCAGGCUAUCGAGAGGGCCGGCAGGCGACGUUGCUGGAGGUGGAAGGAAGCGGCACUGGCGGCGACGGCGGCGGGCCGGUGGUGAUGCAGUGGCGAGAGAAGCUAAUGGCAAAGGACCAAGAAGUGAUUGCGCUGCAGACGGCCUUGCAGGAUGCCAAGUUCCGCCACGACCGCGAUCGACGCCAGUUGCGCGCUGAGAUCGACGUCUUGACGGAGCUGAACGAGAAACUGCAGCAUCUUCAAGCUAACGCUGACGUUCGUGUGCCGGAGGAGACAGUGCAGCAGCAGUGCAAGCGCAUCAAGCGCACGCUGAACGCUGUGUACAACCAGGUGGAAGAACAGCUGCUGCAACUUUCCUCUCUCGAGCGGCGCUCGGGACCUGGAGGCCGGCGAUCUUCGCCGACAGUCGACGAGGGAAAUAGUAUCGAGGGGGCAGGCGAGUCAUUAGACGCCGACGGCAGCGGCAGCAGCGGCGUCGUUGCUGUGGAUGACGUCUUGGCUAUCGUUACGGUAGCCAUACGUUCAGAGGCGCAGGUGGCGGUGACGGAGAUCCGCUCCGACGAGGUGCGGCGGGCGGCCGCGAACGCCGAACUUCGCGCGCGGACGCUGGCGCGGCGCAGCGGGCAGCAUCCAACUCCGGCGUCGUAUGAUGGGCACCGCCCCUCCACAUCCUCCGCUCUCUUGGUGGGGUACGGGGUGAAAGAAGAGGUAGGUGGUCCGAAGGCGGAGCACAGCAGCGUGGCGAAACGUGCGUCGACGCCACCGCCGCUUCCGCCGGUGCACACCUCCGCAUCGCAGGGCGCGCUCGCAGGCGUGGCGGCGACUGUACUGCCGAAUGUGGCCCAAGCCGCGUCGAUGAAGGCGAGCGUAGCGGAGGCUGCAGAGGGUGCGGCAGAAGCCACAUUACAUGGCGACGGGCACCUCUGUGAGGGCACCGGCGUCGCUCGUGCUACGGCAUCGCCGGUAACUGCUGAGGAACCCUUCCACUACAAGACAGGCACGCAAUGGGGCGAUGUAGGAAAUGGAGGCGCAGGCUCAGUCGCGUGUAGGCCCUACAGCGCGCCGGCUCACGCUGAUCCCGGCGCUACUGCCGCCGCGUCCGUGCUGUCUUCUGCAGCCGAUGGGAAGGGGGUGAGCGUUCCUGACGUGGGCGCCGACUCGCUGCACUCUGCACUGUCGUGGUCGACAACUGCCCCCAUAGCCGAAAUCGAGAGGGAUUCGGUGGGGGCCAGAGCCGGCGAAGCACUGCGCUGGAAUGCCGGCGACAGCGCCGAUGGUGGGAGCCGUGCGUUUUCUUCUGCCUUCAUCGCCACCGGUGGCGCGGCUGAUGAUGCUGUCGCCGCGCGGGCUUCAGCCGAGCUUUGGUCGAGUCCCGGCGUUGGUGAAGAGGUGCAACGAGCGCCCACGCCAAACGCCACUGCAGCCAAUAUCGCUACCACCUCAAGUACUCCAACGCGGAUGGGUGCCGACAGCCCGUUCACGAUGAACCGUGCGCGCGUCGCGCUAGAGGUGGUGCGCGCGGGGGACACGGAGAAGGCACAUAUGACACGAUGUUCGACAGACUCUUUGUCUCCGUUGUCUUCGCCUGCGAAGCAGGGUCGCAUGACCACUCGACUCCCAGCGGAUGCGCCAGCUUCGCCGCCGCUCUCUGCUCCUCACUCUGGGAGUGACGAUGGUGAUGGCACGCGCCGUGGCGACGAGGCCAUCGGCGCCAGCCCUUCUGGCAGCAUGAGGGAAGCUGCGUGCGUCCGCGAGCCGCGGACCGAUGCGUCUCAGCAAGCUCUACCCCUGGUGCCGCCGGUACUACCGAGUGAUGCAUCUCUCGUUGGUGCGGCUGCUGACCUCGCCACUCCCUCAUGUGAUGCACAGCUCUUUUCUUCCCCGUCGACCGCGCUGGGUGACUGGCAGGGCAGUCGUCUCUUCGGCAGCCCUCCCUCCGCGGGAGGCGGAUGAGGCGCACGCAUACGAAAACCGCGCACAGACCCACCUCUGCGACAUUGCACAGGUGCGUCUCCCUCACGCGCCUUUCCGUUUCUGCUUUGCUAUCGUGUUCGUGUUAGGUGGGGGAGAGUGAGAGGGGCGGUUCCGCAUGCUUGCAUCUGUGUGUGUUUGGCGGCAGCGGAGGCGGCAGCGAACACAUCCUCCACCGCUCUUCCCCAACUCCUCACCCCGUCUAGGAGAAC
rnacentral:misc_RNA from 1 species